AGAGCACUCAUGCACCUCAGUUCCGCCGUAACCAGCCGGAAGCGAGGUGGUCUCAACGAUGCGUUUGGGUUUGUCUGCGCGUCCAGAAAUCGCGAGGGCGGGACGAGGUGGGGGCGGGCCCUCUUCUGGAGCCUCCAAAAACGCGUCAUAGGCAGGCAAGGAGUUUCUGUGUGGGUUAAGUACCUGUGUUCUUUGUUUUUCUUUGUGGAGAACUCUGUGAAGUCUUGAGGUUUCUACCGUCGAUGUGAAGAGGAGAGAAGGCAAUAAUGGAAAGAUGAAAUAAGAAAAACCAGGUUUAGGUGACCGGAGAUAACAGAAUAAUAGACUCAGGAACUCCAAAGUGUCUUGGUAGCAGCUAUAGCUUGUGGUUCAGCAGGACCCUCAAUAUGUCUCCUGGCAAGAGUGCAUCCUCUUUGGAGACCUGGACCUUUGACCCUGCAGAGCCUAGACUUACAGAGAUGAAAGCAUGAAAUUUUCAUGGGUCAGUGGGAGUGAUGAUAUGAGGAGACACAAGAAUUGGGGUCAAAAAAUCCUCUCCUGAAAAUAUCUAACUCUCUGAUGGCCUGUUCAGCCAGUUUUCCCGGAGCACAGAAGGCCUCAUUCGUGAUCUCCACCCUGAACUCCUUUCAGGGGUUGUUGGAGAUGAAGAAAGGGAUACAAGGAGGAUCAACCAAGAUUCCACAGUCCAGAUUCUAAUUGAAGAAGAGCUGGACUAAAUCAUUCCUACAGCCUCGUGCCCUCAGAAUACUAGUCACAUAGCUGAGUUUAUGGCCUGAAAUGCCGCUACCCAAACUAUAGGCACACAUUGUGUUUUGUGAAAUGAGUGCCAGCGCACGAUUUAUCCAAGGAGAUCACCCGAUGACACACGCUUUCAUCAGGGCUGACCAUCCAAGGGCCUGUGUAGGGAUUCACACAACGUCUGUGCUCCAGGAUAGGAGAGGAGAAAAGAGAUGCAGGUUUCACUGCGACUGUAUGUAACUAGGGGAACGACUCCCUCAAACACGACCCAUACAGGAUUCUCAGUCAUGCUCAGUCCCCUGCAGCAGUGGGAGCCGUCUUGACUUUACCUCCCUCUUCCCAGUACUUCCCUCUGUGCUUGGCUGCAGUCGGGACUCAAUGUUCCCUGAAGUGACUGUGUCUGGUCUACAACUGUCUGUGUCUCAGUGCACGCUCUCUUCCUUCCACUGGGGCCACUAGGAGGAUAGAUGAUGUGAUCUCAGAUGUAGUGAUCCAGGUCUCCACUGUUUAACUGCUAAUUUAGCAGUUUCCAGUCCAGACUCAGGAGAGGAAUCUCAAGAAGGAAACUUGGGUUCAUUAUUAACUUCUCCAUGCCUUUUAGAAAUACCAUUUCUAAUAUAUUGCCCUGUAAUAGGAACUGAUUCAAGAGAGAACUUUCUGGAAGCCUCUGUCAGUGGUUUUUGAAGUUUCCCUAGACCGUGAAGAAGAAAUGUGAGAAGAAAGGGAUGGAGAGAGAGAAAAAAGAGAGAGGAGGGAAAGGUGUAUAAUGAGAAAAGAUUUAUUUAUGAUAUGGAAAUUAUUUUUUAUCUCUGAAUUAAUGGAAUUUUUAAUGACUGCAUUAGAUGUGCCAAGCUCUGUGUUAAGGGCUAAAAUCAGGAGGGAAGUGCAAUGUGUUAUCUUCUUUUUCUUAUGCAACUCUUGUUCCAGAUUUACAUUUUGAACACAGUAAGAUGCCUUUAUCCAAGCUCUGGAAAUACUAUGGUCUCAGGUAUCAAAAUCUCCUAAGACUCUUCAGGCCAGUUCAGUCUCUCCCCAAACCCCUUCUUUUUAAUCAUAUUCCAGCCCACCAAAGGGCCAUGUUACAUAGAGAGACCUAAUACUUGCAACAGACAGAGCCAGGAAGGGCUGCUUGCAAAGGAGGAACCCAGGUUCCUCUAGGUUUUUACUAAUGUCCCCUGUUCCUCUUCACAUAAAGAUUCUCCAUCUCAUCGCCUCCUGAUGCUGGAAACUUGAGUCUUUGAAUUUCUUACUGUUCAAAAUUCUGCAGAACGUUAAAGCAGUUUGCUAAGUUCUUCUUGAGUUUUUUCCUUUGCUCCACUUGCAUUGAAUUUACUUUCUCUAUUUUUAAUCUGGACCUGAUUAUUGCUUCCACUCCAUGCCAACUAACAACCUGAAAAAACUCAGAGGGCUUUCUGUAAACUCUAUCAAAGAAUUAUAAAAGAAUGAAUACCUGGGGUUGCAUAAGGGACGCCAACCUCGGUUUCUUGAAUCUUGCGUUUAUUCACAUCUGUGCUAUUUUCUACACACAACUGUUAUUGACAUUCCCAGUGCUUGCAUUUCAUUAUGUAAAAUGAGAAUUUUAUCUUUGUAAACCAGCCAUUUAUGGACUGUGCACUCUGUUCCUGAAACUGUGUUAAUCACAGGAUAUAUCAAGACACAUGAAAUGUAGUCUUGAUCCCCAAGUAACUUCUGGAACCUAAAUGUGUGAUGGAAGUAGCAACCCUUGUAUGCUCAUGGUUUUAUGGGACCUCAGAGGGUGGAGGAAGUUAUUUUCCCUGAUGGGUGCAGGAAGGAUUCCAAGAGGAGCCUCCAUCUGAGCAGGGCCGUGAAAAUGAGCAGGUGUUUGAGGGGAGGGAUAAAUUAGGCGUUUGGGAUGAACAGAUACACACUACUGUAUAUAACACAGAUAAACAACGAGGGCCUAUCGUAUGGCACAGGGAAUUAAAUUCAGUAUCUUUAAAAACCUAUAAUGGAAAAGAAUAUAAAUACAAAUAUAGAUAUAAAUAACCGAGUCACUUUGCUGUACACUUGAAACUAACACAACUUGUAAAUCAACUAUCUUUCAAUAAAAAGUUAUCUGUU